GACUCGGUGGCGUAGUGGCAACACACUCUGAAUUCUUUACAUAGGUGUUCUGUUUUCGGGGAGGUACGGAGUUCGAUUCUCCGUCGGGUCA